ACGAACGCUGGCGGCAUGCCUAACACAUGCAAGUCGAACGAAGGCUUCGGCCUUAGUGGCGCACGGGUGCGUCACGCGUGGGAAUCUGCCCUUUGGUUCGGAAUAACAGCUGGAAACGGCUGCUAAUACCGGAUGAUGACGAAAGUCCAAAGAUUUAUCGCCAGAGGAUGAGCCCGCGUUGGAUUAGGUAGUUGGUGGGGUAAAGGCCUACCAAGCCGACGAUCCAUAGCUGGUCUGAGAGGAUGAUCAGCCACACUGGGACUGAGACACGGCCCAGACUCCUACGGGAGGCAGCAGUGGGGAAUAUUGGACAAUGGGCGCAAGCCUGAUCCAGCAAUGCCGCGUGAGUGAUGAAGGCCCUAGGGUUGUAAAGCUCUUUUACCCGGGAAGAUAAUGACUGUACCGGGAGAAUAAGCCCCGGCUAACUCCGUG
rnacentral:rRNA from 1 species